ACAUGCUCUAUUUGUGGGAUGGAACCAGAAGAUGGAUAUCACGCAGUCAUGAGAUGCACAAAAGCUAAAGCCCUGCGUGACACCAUGCGUGAGGUCUGGACCCUUCCCCGGGACACUGAUCUUACAUGUACGGGGCGUGAGUGGGUCCUUCUAACUCUUGAUAAGGCGAAUGAGGAGGAGCGUACACACCUCCUCUUCAUCUGGUGGCGAGCGUAGCACCUUAGAAAUAACAUUAUAUUUGGUGACGGGAAAGAUACAAUAAAGGCAUCAACAGAAUUCCUACAAAGUUAUGCUAGCUCCUUUGCGGCGAUCAGAGCGGGACAGUUGCUUCCUGACUUUAAAGGAAAAGAAAAAGUGAUGCCAGACAUUUCAUUCCGUGAGACUAAAAAGAGAGAUGCAGAUUAUCAAUGGGUCAGACCUAACUCAGGUUGGCUCAAACUGAAUGUUGAUGCAAGCUUUAUUCAGGAGACAAACCAUGGAGCUUGGGGGGCGGUUCUACGAGAUACGAAUGGGGCGGUCAUUGGAUCUGCUUGGAACACAAUCCGUAACUGCGCUAGUGCUGAGGCGGCUAAAGCUGAAGCUUGUCUUGAAGGAAUCCGAGAUACCAUGCAGUUCAUAGACCGGCCAGUAGUUAUGAGAGCGACUGUGCGAAUGUCAUCCAACAAAUUUCUUCAAAGGACUUUAAAGAUCUCCCAUUGGUAG
rnacentral:rRNA from 1 species